rnacentral:pre_miRNA from 1 species
AUGUUGCCUGCCUCCGUUCCGAAUUACUUGUCUUGGAUUUGUCUAGAUACGAGACUCAUUUUAGUGCUAGAUACAUCCGUAUCUAGACAAAUCUAAGACAAGUAAUUCGGAACGGAGGGAGUAGAUA